UACGAAGGGGGCUAGCGUUGUUCGGAUUUACUGGGCGUAAAGCGCACGUAGGCGGAUCGAUCAGUCAGGGGUGAAAUCCCAGAGCUCAACUCUGGAACUGCCUUUGAUACUGUCGAUCUGGAGUAUGGAAGAGGUGAGUGGAAUUCCGAGUGUAGAGGUGAAAUUCGUAGAUAUUCGGAAGAACACCAGUGGCGAAGGCGGCUCACUGGCCCGGUACUGACGCUGAGAUACGAAAGCGUGGGGAGCAAACAGG
rnacentral:rRNA from 1 species